UCUCAUUGCUGUUGUGUUCUCUCUGAGGA
rnacentral:piRNA from 1 species